rnacentral:rRNA from 1 species
UACGUAGGGUGCGAGCGUUGUCCGGAAUUAUUGGGCGUAAAGAGCUCGUAGGCGGUUUGUCGCGUCUGCCGUGAAAGUCCGGGGCUCAACUCCGGAUCUGCGGUGGGUACGGGCAGACUAGAGUGCGGUAGGGGAGACUGGAAUUCCUGGUGUAGCGGUGAAAUGCGCAGAUAUCAGGAGGAACACCGGUGGCGAAGGCGGGUCUCUGGGCCGUAACUGACGCUGAGGAGCGAAAGCAUGGGGAGCGAACAGG